AAUCAACGCUGGCGGCGUGCCUAACACAUGCAAGUCGAACGCGAAAGUCCCGCAAGGGAUCAGUAGAGUGGCAAACGGGUGAGUAACGCGUGGGUGACCUGCCUUCGAGCGGGGAUAACGUUCCGAAAGGGACGCUAAUACCGCAUAACAUCCUGCCUUUUAAGAGGUGGAGAUCAAAGCUGGGGAUCGCAAGACCUAGCACUUGAAGGAGGGGCCCGCGUCUGAUUAGCUAGUUGGUGAGGUAACGGCUCACCAAGGCGACGAUCAGUAUCCGGCCUGAGAGGGCGGACGGACACACUGGGACUGAGACACGGCCCAGACUCCUACGGGAGGCAGCAGUGGGGAAUUGUUCGCAAUGGGCNCAAGCCUGACGACGCAACGCCGCGUGGAGGAUGAA
rnacentral:rRNA from 1 species